AUAUCUUGUUGACCACACCCUGGAGGUGCAGGAAGUGCUUCUUCAUCCCAUGGGUUGUCUCUGCUAAAGUUAAUACCCUCCCUAAUGCUGACUCAAACUGCUCAAAAUUUUUUAAAUGUCGACUAUCUGCAAAGCACGAUGCCAGGAGGGGAGGCCAUGGGUACAUCGUGUAAGGAGCACUCUGCUUUGUGGGAACCUAGCUAACCUUUCUGAGUCUCCAUUUAGGGAACAGUCCUGCCUACCCAACUGCAUGCUGAUAAAGGAAAUGAACUGUCCAUGUAAAGCGAGGUAUAAUUAGGGAGAAUGGCAGUCUCUCAAACGUAAAUUCGUCUUGGUUCUCUUAACAAACGUUGACAAGUGCUUAUCGAAUACCGACUACUGUGUGUUCAGUACAAUGGGGCUUGAAGAGGGAUGAUAGUAUUAUUUUUCCGUUUUACAGGUUGAUAUAGGAACAGAAGUUGAUUUAAACUUUUUCACAUUUCCUUGCAACUAGGAUACUUUGAUAAAGGAAAAGAGAUUGAGUCCACAACUUAUUGCUGGUUUAUUCUGCAUUGUUUGCAUGGAGGGGUCGGCUAAUCGGGAAAGGGGUACCUGAGACACGGCAGUGGGGCCCGCCAUGGGUUUAGGAGUCAGUAAAUUUAAGUUUGUUUAAUGUGUAUUUUCACUGCUUCAGACUUCGACUUAGAGGAGAAUGCAAACUGAUAAUACAGGGAAUUUGGGGAAGUUGGUCUUUUUCUUUCUCAAUACAAAAAGGACUUCAAACUACCACUGGAUUAGUGCCCAAGUGGAAGAAUUUCCAGUCAUCAGCUAAUGCAGCAGGAUCCCUUCCAUUCUUCUCCCCCAAUACACACCACCUUGUUUUUUGUGGUAGGACAUUUUACCUAUCUUAGCGGUACCCUCCCAAGUGCUGUUCUGAAAUAAAAGUGAAAUCCCCUUUGUUGCCAUUCAUGGAAUGACCACAGCUUUCUGUGAUCGGGUUUUCUAUAGCAAACUCUACUCUUUGUUUACCCUGUCACCCAAACAGAACCUUAACAUUCUAGGUUAAUUUAAAAAAAAAAAAAUUUUUUUGAACUUUUUCACAUUUCCUUGCAUCUAGGAGCAACCAUAUGACACAGGUCAAGCAAAGGAAAUGAAAUUUGAAGUUACUACUGGGGUUCCCAGGAAAGUUUUUAGGACAAGCUCCAUAGAGCAGAACUCAUCCUUAUCCUACAUUUGUCUUUUGAAGAUGGAUUUGAUUAGGAGGAUAAUGAAGCACCUGACUCCGAAGAGGAAGAGGAUAAGGAUGGAGAUGAAGAUGAUGGAGAUGAAGAGGAAUAUUUAGCUGGUCCACCUGAAGUAUAUGAGGAAGAGGAGGAGGAAGAUGAAGAUGAAGCAGGAUCAGAAUUGGGAGAGGGAGAAGAAGAAGUGGGCCUUUCUUACUUGAUGAAAGAAGAAAUUUAGGAUGAAGAAGAGAAGAUGAUGAUGAUGUUGAAGAUGGGGAAGAAGAGGAGGAAGAGGAAGAAGAAGUUCUGGGGGGGGAGGAAGAAGAUGACUAGAUCAUUCUAAUACCAGGUUCCUCAGCAUUUCUGGGUGUGUAAUAGAGUGAUUACAUCUUUGUUUUUUUUAUGUACAAUAGCUAUCCCAACAUAAGACAAUGUAUAACUUUUUAUAGAAAAGUGUGCUUUUACUAGUUUUGCCUUAUCAUUCCAGUUAAGAUUUACUAGUCUGUUAAUGAUCAUUGUAUGUGGAGAAAAAAUUUCAUUGACACUCCCCCCUAUUAAGAUAUUCUCUAGCAAUUAUAUUUAGAAGCUUAAUUUUUCUAGUUCAAGUUCAUUGUAUUAGUAAUUUUUAGUCCAUAAUUAAAACAUGAUUGCUUUUACACAGGUGAAGUUUGGUGCAUUUCAUUCAUAAGAUUUUAAAGUUAUUUAUAAAUUAACUGAAAUUACAGUCAUCUGUAAUAUGAAAUGACAGUAGUCUCCUGAAUAAGUUGAUUAUUAUUUUUUUUAGAGAUGAUCCAGGGAUCUUUAUUUUGAAGGCAUUGACUUUUUUUUAAAAUAGCUAAGGAUAUUCGGGUGUUUUUUUUUUUUUUUUUGUCUCAUGAAUUAAGUUGGAAAGUAGAAGCAGAAUAAUAAAGGUUCUAUUCAGCAAUAUAGUUUGUGUAUUUGGAGGAGGUUCUAACCAGUAAUAUAAUUCAUGGAUUUUGUGGUGAUUGAUAAGAUUUUAUUUUUGAAGGAAAAAUUGCCUAUACUAAGUGAGACACACAGGUGAAUCUGAUCUUUAGGCUGCAGAUCAUGACAUGCCAAUGGUUGUUUAUUUUUGUUUUAGAUAUGCAUUUGUUUUCCUCUCAUCAAUUUCUUUAUGAUCACCUUCCCUUCUUGUUGACUCCCAUUUCUCUAUCCCAAAAGAAAGCUGGGAACUUCUGUAUACCCAGAAAACCUUAUGAAAGUCUUAUACUUCAACCACCUUUUCAGAUCUUUCUGGGUUUUAAACAGAGUGGAAGAAACUGAGAUUUUUCUGAGAUACAAAUAUUGUUAUUGAUAGAAUUUUAGGCAGCAAGCUCUGCUUAUUGUAAAUCUUUCUUGACUGACAACACUUAAGACCAUAUAAGUAGGAUGAAGAAAGUAAAGGACCAGGGGAGGGUUCUUGAAUUAGCAUCAUGUUCAUUGCCUGUUGAUAAUUAAUGAGACAUUUAAGUCAAUUUUUAAGUUGACAUCCCAAAUUAUUUGGAUACCAACCCUGCGCAGUUUUAAAAAUUUUUCUUGGUGGACCCUUUAGUUGUUCCUAUAAUUUUAAAGCAUUACCAGAUUUAGUAUUUAAUUGGAAUAUUGUAGGCAGUUGGAAAAAUAUUUGGGAUUAAAUAUUAAAAUUAAGACUUAUUUUCAAGUGAAUGUCCAUUAAAAUAGAAGAAUAUUUGGGAUAAGUAUGAGUAUGUGCUUACUUACAUGGUUACUAAAUAAAAUAUAAUGAAUAGACAAGUACAUCUCUGUUUUUGUCAUGGAGGCUCCAUGUUCAUGGUAAUUGCUUUGUUCUUCUUGAUUUCUUCUUCUUUUUCUUUGUUUUGAAUAUUUAUAAAGUUUUUAAAAGUUGGUGUCAGGAAACUAAUUGAAGCUAUUCUCUGCUGGGACAUAUCUAAAUUAUGAGUGUAGUACUGCUGCUGCUUGUUUUUUUUUAAGUUUAAAAUAUAUGACUUGGCAUUUUAAAGGUUAUUUGUGGAGAAACUAAAACAGUUGCACAACUGACUGAAAUAAAAUGCUUGGAAUAAAUUUAGUAGGGGAAUCAGAAAAUACAAAAGAUUAACUUUUUCUCUCCUAAUUUUUUAACAAUUGAUAUGCCCUGCUUUUCUAAGAAUUUUCAUUCCAUACUAUGCCCAGAUUAUAAAAUACUUAUUUUUAAAAUGGAAUGUAUAUGUUGACUUUCUUAUCAAUCAUCUUAUUGUGUGAUCAAAAUUAGAGUUCUUUGGUUUGAAAACAACACAUAGUGAACCUCCAGAUAACUUUUAAGAACUUAUUUAGCUUUGUGGGUGGUAUUUUCAUGCAAAUAAGUUAGGGAGGGGUUAUAUUUUGUAGAAGUUUGGGGUCCUAUUUUAAUGCUUUUUGUAUUGCAGUAUGUACAUAGUGUGUUAAGUUCUUUAAGAAUCUCUCCUUAAACUUUGAGGUUAAUACUUUUGUGCAACUGUGUUUUUGAAUAAAGCCAUUACAGUGUUAAGAACAACAACAACAACAAAAAAAAAGAUUUAUAAUAGUAAUAAAUGUACCUAAAUAGUAUUAACUAUGCAAUUCAUGGAAACUAUUUUAUUAACUCAGGGUAAUUUCUGCCCACUUGGGUAGCUAUCUUCGUUAACAAGGUAAAUGAGAAAAUUACUUAUAAAUAAUAAAACGUGAUUUCCAGUG